UCAGCACUAAACCACGUCCCCAAGUACCACAUCCAUACAUUUUUUUUAACUCUUCCAGGGGUGGUGAUUCCACCACUUUCUUGGGCAGCCUGACCAACUUUUCAGUGAACAAAAAGGGUUGGUCCCAUGCCAAUACAUAUUCCAGGAGCUGCUGAGAAGCUGAGAUUCCUGCAAACUUAAAGACAGUCUGAUCCCGGUCUACCUGGCAGCGAUACCAUCCAGCAAAUACCACAUCAUCAUUGACUCGAAGUUUCCCAUUCACAUCAAAAGCUGAGUUUAUCAGAGCCUGUGAUUCUUUGCAGCUGAAGACAUUCACCAAGGUGAUGUGUUUAUGUCUGGAUUUAACGAGUCCCUCAACAGAGGUGCUCCUCACUGUCACACUGUGGAUCAAACAAUGUCAGUGAUUCUGGAAGAGCUACUUACUUGGUCUCUCUCUCACUGCUUCAAUAGCUGUCACCUGCCUGCAUGAGCUGGGGAAGAGUGGGAUCUUUGAUACAGAUAUGAAAUAACAAUGUGCGCUAAUAUCUACAUAUGGUUUCUACUUGAAAGUUUAAAAAGUCAUUUGUUACUGUGAUACUAAAGUAUACUCCUCUUUGAUGCAAGACGUUUGUUAUCUAGUGGUUUCAACCACUGGAACCACACAUCUCUUUACACUGCUCAGCACAAAAGUCACUUACAAAUGUUUCUGAGUGUUUUGUUAAAGCACAACAUAGUAAGGCUUUGAUCAGGUAAGAUGCUUAAGCAGCAAGUUUAAGCACACAAGUAAUCCCAGUGAAGUCCCAAGGAUCCAUUCACAUGCUUAAAUCCAUGCUCUCUUUGGCAGGUCAAAACUUAAAAUAAUCAGGCUACAGCUUGUAACUCAAACCCUUGUCUGUACAGACAAGUAAGGCAACACAAAAAUACAUUUUAAAAAAUAUAAUAGAAGGCUGGAAAAAAAUAUUCUUUCUAGCAGUUAAUUGGGAAACAGAACCUUUAAAGAAAUAAAAAGAAGAAAAGUUUAAAAGUCAGCAGAGGAAAAAAAGAAACUGAUGCAGACUCCAGUUUUACAUUGCCACUCCUGAUAAAGACAUUGUGUGUCAGUCCAAGGAAGGAGAAAUAAGAAGGAAGAAAGUGGUGUUACUUCCUUCUCACAUCUUUGCAAGAAGAUGAUAAAAAGAGUCCGACACAUCUUGUGUAUCAGCAUCUGGCUAACAGAUUUAGACAUCUGUCUACAUGACUGGCAAAUUUCUCAAGCCUUUUCAAGUCUCCAGUAAUUAGAGAAGAGACUCAUGCAUUUGCUGCACUGAACGGCCUGCAGCCCUUUGGUACAUACUGGCCAAUGAAACAUGGUAAGAAAUGAUGGAAUGUCCAUAUACAAAGUUUACAAAAACCUCCCCUUCAAAGUAAAUAUCCCAGCAGCAUGAGUUUAUCUUUUAUGGGGAAGAUAAUUACAACAGAUGUAAAACAGAAUAGGCUUCUGAUAUGAAAAACAAAUCAAAGCAAAUCAGCUACAUUUAAAUUUGGGAAUUGCUGGUAUCUCCGUAUAAAGGACGAGAUUCAUAGUCUUGCCAUAGCACUUAACAAAGAGGGAAAUAGUCCCCCUAGUGUACUCUCCAUGUAGAAAAGACUGUUUCACAAGAUAGUGCUGCAAGAAAUUACUAAAUAACAUUGUGGGAAGAGGUAUGGAAUUACUUAAACUGUAGUGAAACCAGGCACCUCUACUACAUACAUGUAAAAAAAAUGAAAAGUUUUUAUAGUUUCCUAUUUCAAGAUUAUUGAGGGAAGUGAGUGCUUCACCCGAAAUACUUGUGAGGUAAAACUUGGUUUUUAAGUCAGCACACUAGUUUUGUGACUGCAGGACUUUGAUUGGGUAACAGAUACCUGAAUGAGGAAAGAUCUAGUCAUCGAGGAGCUCUGUAGAAGUACCUGGAACAGUCACAUUUCACAAGGGUGAAACCAGCUCACCCUGGCAUCUCUUCCUCCCUCCAGUGAUGACGAACGUAAAUACCAACCUUCCCUAAGUAUUCAAGACAGAAGCAGACAUUGGAACAUGCAUGGAAACCCUCUCCAGUACUUGGAAGUGUACAGGACUGUACCAGCCGGGGCUGUCCGUGGCACACCGGCGUGUCCGGAGUGCGGCAGCUCUGCAGCACUGCACCGUACACUACUGCCCUCGUUAGCUUCAGGCACUGUUAGGUUAGCCAACAUCCCACCAGGGCCAGGGGGAAGCAAAGGAGAUUGUUGGCGGGGUGUAUUGGGCAAACCUUAUCCGAAUUACCAGAAAUGUAAUAUACAUUUUCCUAACCACAUCUGAAAUACUCACUUCUGCUUUAAUGCCCUAGGCAGGGAAAAAAAAAAAGUGAUAGUUGUAACUUUAAUUUAUAGCUCUUAAAAUAAUUAUUUGAAGAGAAUAAUCCCAGCUACGUUUACGGAUUAUGGUCUUCGGCACAUCUCACUGAAAACAGUAUUAAUAUUUUAUAGAUAAUAGUACAUAAAGUAAUAAGACUAAGUCCUCUUCUUCCCUUUGUUUAAAAUAACAAUUUUCCCACUCAGUGGAAAAGCAGAAUAUUGUUAAAUGGGCUUGCUGCCUUCAACGAUGAAUUUAGCUGUGUAAAAAUAUUCUAAAUUAAGAUAAAAGCCUUCUAACACAGAACUAUCUUCUGUUCAUUUAAAGUCUUGGUGUAACUAGCAAUCUGAAGAAGCCUAAUGUGAAAAGCUGACAUUAGUUCCUGAAGAGUUGUAUUCAUUACCUGUGAAGCAAACAAAGAUGGUAAUAACAUAUAAUGUGUUUUAACAUCAGGAGACUAAGAUGGAGUCCCCAUAUAAGAGUGUUGCCUCUGCACAAACUAAGCUACUCUCUAGCCAAGAAAUUGAAGUAGUCCACUUCUGAAUGUAUAUGCACUUGAAAAAGAAAUCCUAGCCUUGCUAAGGAAUUACAUUUUCCAGUUUAAGAUGCCUGGCACAUUAUUAGUUCCUGACCUCCCCUCUGCCCCUUCCAGUAUGCCCCUACCACCCACGCACAACUGCACCCACUGUUAACGCGACCGAAUGUCUUACCCUAACUUCAGAGACACUUCACAAUCAUUAGUGCAGAAUUUGCUGCUACCAGUGUGCCUGUAACUCCUGAGAAAGGUCAUCCUAAAGGUUUGUGAGUAACUUCUGAACUAAAUUAUACCAGAAGAAUCUCAAGAGAUCCAAGUUUUUAACAUUUUAAUUAGCUCCAAGUACCAGCUAAUGCUGCUCAGCGAAAGAAUCGAUAUCAAAUUAACGGUAUAAAUUGUCAGAAAAAUUGUGAUGGUAUUAAGGAUACUAAUCAAUGUAAGCACUUCAUGUUAUGGCCCAGAUUCUGCUUCUGCUACAGUGAAAAAGAGUUUUGCCACCAAAACAGUGUCAGGCCCAUUGUUAGGUCAGUCUUUGUUUGAAUUAGAUACUGAGAAUUUACUGAAAAUUCAAAGUACCCGAUAGAAAUGCUGGAUAUGUCAUAGCAGCUGACAUCUAAAGCCACUGCCUCUAUGUGAAACCAAACAACUUACGAAGGCACAGGCUGUCAUUGGAAGAUGUAACCCUUUAUCACACUCUGCGUCACACUUGAAAAGUCAGAUCAAAAUUCAACACCUAAUACAGACACAAAAGCUGUAAAAAAGAUGUGUGCUUUUAAAAGCCUUGUCUUCAACUAGCUAUGCCAGCGAUAAACUUUGUGUUUGUAUUUUCUCCAGACUGAGACAAGUCUGUCAACUACUGUGCUUCAUUUGGAAGGUAAAAAUCAUACAGCCGCACUUCAAUUCCUAGCAGCAAGUCCUACUCAGGCACCAAAAUACAGGACAGGGCUGCUAGUACAGAAACUGCCAGAAAUGUUUAAUCUAUAUAGUAUUUCUGACCAAUUUGUAUACUGAAAGUUAUCACCUGAUCCAAACCUAGAUAGACUCAAAGAGAAAAUUUAAUUUCUCUGUAAAAGCAUUGAACUUGCCGGCAA